CGUGCCUGCGCGGUGACAGCAGGCCGGCUUCUCUGGCCGCCUGGCCUCCCGGCCUCCUGAUGAACUUCUUUCCCCUCCCCUCUGGCUCCGUUCCCUGGAAGGGUUUUUUUUGUGUUUUUUUUUUGCUCUGCAAUGGGAAGAGGCCAGGGCGGCAGCCUAUAGUAAUGUGUUCAGGCCGGCUCUAAGUUGUUUCCGUCUAUUUGUUUAUCGGUGUUAAGGAAGAGCUGUGCAGCGUCUCCUGUGAGCCUGGUGUUGAGCCAGCUCAAGCAGUGCGGGUCGGAAGGUGCCUGCGGGAGAUGGGGGUGCUGCUGGAACGGACCUCAGGAGCAUCCGUCAUUUUCUUCUCUCAGCAAACAGGAGAAGAGCUGCCGUGCUUCCUUCUGGUCCUUAGUACUGGGUGCCUGUUGGCUUUUUCAGGUGGCUUCACUUCUAGGAAAAAGAACCUCUGCUUUUUGUGUUCCUGAAGAACAGCGAGUAAGUCUAACAAAAUUGCACUAUUGUGCGUGCCUGCUAGGCAAGUAUGAAUAGAAUUUUUUUUCCAUUGGCAGAAGGCAAUAAAGGGCCAGAAUCCAUUUUCCCUUGGUUCUAC
rnacentral:lncRNA from 1 species